GAACGCAUAUUGCGCUCUUUGGUAUUCCGAAGAGCAUGCUUGUUUGAGUAUCAGUAAACACCUCAAAACUUUUUUUUAUUUUUUGAAAAGCAGUUUUGGACUUGAGCAAUCCCAACACCAAUCUUUUUUAGAUCGGUGGCGGGUUGCUUGAAAUGCAGGUGCAGCUGGACAUUCUCCUGAGCUAAAAGCAUAUUUAUUUAGUCCCGUCAAACGGAUUAUUACUUUUGCUGCAGCUAAUAUAAAGGGAGUUUGACCGUUUUGGCUGACUGAUGCAGGAUUUCACAAGGGUCGGCAACGAUUCUUGUAAAACUCGAUCUCAAAUCAAGUAAGACUACCCGCUGAACUUA
rnacentral:misc_RNA from 1 species